AAACGACGGCCAGUCGAUUCAGCCUUGGAUUCCGACUUUGAGCUUGCUCAAGAAGGACGCUGGCUACAGCUUAACACGUGCCCGUCGAGGGGCAGCGGGAUUGAAGCUUGCUUCAAUUGCCGGCGACCGGCGCACGGGUGGAGUAACGCGUAUCCCAACCUUCCGUACACUCAGGGAUAGCCUUUCGAAAGAAAGAUUAAUACCUGAUAGUAUCUUAAGCACACAUGUAAUUAAGAUUAAAGAUUUAUCGGUGUACGAUGGGGAUGCGUUCCAUUAGGUAGUAGGCGGGGUAACGGCCCACCUAGCCAACGAUGGAUAGGGGUUCUGAGAGGAAGGUCCCCCACAUUGGAACUGAGACACGGUCCAAACUCCUACGGGAGGCAGCAGUGAGGAAUAUUGGUCAAUGGACGAGAGUCUGAACCAGCCAAGUAGCGUGAAGGAUGAAGGUCCUACGGAUUGUAAACUUCUUUUAUAAGGGAAUAAACCCUCCCACGUGUGGGAGCUUGUAUGUACCUUAUGAAUGGGCAUCGGCUAACUCCGUGCCAGCAGCCGCGGUAAUACGGAGGAUGCGAGCGUUAUCCGGAUUUAUUGGGUUUAAAGGGAGCGCAGACGGGUCGUUAAGUCAGCUGUGAAAGUUUGGGGCUCAACCUUAAAAUUGCAGUUGAUACUGGCGUCCUUGAGUGCGGUUGAGGUGUGCGGAAUUCGUGGUGUAGCGGUGAAAUGCUUAGAUAUCACGAAGAACUCCGAUUGCGAAGGCAGCACACUAAUCCGUAACUGACGUUCAUGCUCGAAAGUGUGGGUAUCAAACAGGAUUAGAUACCCUGGUAGUCCACACGGUAAACGAUGGAUACUCGCUGUUGGCGAUAUACUGUCAGCGGCUUAGCGAAAGCGUUAAGUAUCCCACCAAGGGGAGCCACGUCAUAAACGUUUCACACACUGAAAACGACGGCCA
rnacentral:rRNA from 1 species